AGGACUGUAGUUAAUUAUAACAUUUGAUUUGCAUUCAAAAAGUAUUGUAUUUCAAUCUGUCUUA
rnacentral:tRNA from 1 species